UACGUAGGGUGCGAGCGUUAAUCGGAAUUACUGGGCGUAAAGCGUGCGCAGGCGGUCUCGUAAGCUGGGUGUGAAAGCCCCGGGCUUAACCUGGGAAUGGCGAUGGUGACUGCAAGGCUAGAGUUUGGCAGAGGGGGGUAGAAUUCCACGUGUAGCAGUGAAAUGCGUAGAGAUGUGGAGGAACACCGAUGGCGAAGGCAGCCCCCUGGGUCAAAACUGACGCUCAUGCACGAAAGCGUGGGGAGCAAACAGG
rnacentral:rRNA from 1 species